GGCGGUCUGGUUAAAAUGCAGAUUCUGAUUCAGCAGUUCUGGGGUGGGGCCUGAGAUUCUGCAUUUCUAACAAGUUC
rnacentral:miRNA from 1 species